rnacentral:lncRNA from 1 species
GGCAGUUUGUUGGCAUUGCAGAGAUGGUGGGCCCAGUCGACUUCAACAAGACAGUAGAGUAUUGGCAGCAGGACAAGUGGACCGGCUGCUUCCCUGUCAAGUGGCACAUUGUCAAGGACGUGCCGAACAGAAUCCUGAAGCAUAUAACCCUAGAGAACAACGAGAACAAGCCCGUCACCAACAGCAGGGACACCCAGGAGGUGAGCUUUCAGAUAGAUAGAUAGAUACCCUUCGCAGUAGUGUGUGCUUAUGCAGCAGGGACACCCAUUGACGUUCUGCUUAUGCCCCCUUUCUUCCAGGUGAAACUCGAUCAGGGUCUCCAGAUGCUCAAGCUCUUCAAGGAGCACGUCAGCAAGACUUCUAUUUUGGACGAUUU